rnacentral:rRNA from 1 species
CGCCUCUUGAUUAUUGUUGAAAAGGGGUCUGUCCUGCCCGGUGAGCACCAGCUUUAACGGUCGCAGUUAACACUGUGCUAAGGUAGCGCAAUCAAUCGUCCUUUAAUUGGGGAAAGGUAUGAAGGAUUGACGUGGAAAGGCUUUAUUGAGAAUACAUAUGGAAUUUUACAUCUUAGUGCAAAGGCUAGGAUAAUAUUGUUAGACGAGAAGACCCUAUUGAGCUUGGUAUAAUCUCUAGGUAAGUUUACUUAUUUAGGGAUGGUAUGUUUUUUCGGGAAAGCUAGGGAGGGAAAACUAUGCCUCCCUUCUUAUUAUACAGAUCCAGCAUGGCUGAUAAAAAGAAGACAGUUACCAUAGGGAUAACAGCACAAUCGCCUCGACGAGGUCUUAUUUGAGAGGCGGUUUGUAACCUCGAUGUUGAAUUAAGAUUUCUUCUAGGUGCAGCAGCUUAGAAAGUGGGACUGUUCGUCCUUUAAAAUCUU